AGGGGACCGAGGGGCGAGAGCACGGACCACCUCCUGAUCUGGGACAUAAGGAUGAUGAUGAGGAAUGAGAUGGCCUUCGAGACCAAGCAUGUAUUCAGAGAAGCCAACGGGGCAGCUGACUAGGUGGCUGCCUAUGCAGCCCACCACUCAGAAUAUAUCAUAUGGUCAGGAGAGGAGGAGCUGUCACAGGCACUCCGCGAGUUUGUGUUUUUUGAUUUUAUUGAGUGUAUUCGUAUAUGCAUUGUAUGGAAAAUCCGUUAAAGCAGC
rnacentral:lncRNA from 1 species